AUUUUGAGAUACAAGUUGUAGUUGAAAAAAGGCACGCAAUCUAUGGAAAGGGUUGAACUUACUGGAGGAAUUAAAACAUUAAAUAUUUUACCUAAUGAAAAAUAUGUUUCGAACAUUUCUGGAAAAUUUCGAUCUCAAAAUUGAGUCAUGAUUGAUGAUUUUGAGAUGAUUGCAAAAAAGUCACGCAACUUAUCGAAAUGGGUCGAAAUUACCUAACAUGAGGGAUUUAAAUAUUUUGUCGAAAAUAUGAUUCGAACAUUUCUGGAAAAUUUUGAGCUCAAAAUUGAGUCAUGGUUUUGAGAUAAUUGAGAAAGUGUCAGAUGGCCCAUCAAAAUGGAGUGAAAUUACACACAAAAGAAACUCAUCUUUUUUCAUUUUUUGAACCUCAAGAAAUGAAAACUGAAACAGUGAAACUUGAAAAUGAAAAUACCUAUGUAAAUUUUUGCCAUCACUGCCGUUCUUCUUAAUUAAUGUUUUACAGCAGCGCUAUCUGGUUCCCUAGUUUUCAACUCAAAUGGCGGUUUAAGGUCUAGUAGGAGGUAAUUACUAUUAAGUACUCGUAUGUAUUUUGUGUUGUCAUUGUGAUGUAGUCAAAGUGUUAGGAAUGAAACGGUUUUCUGGAGCUGAUCGAUAAGUGUCCUCACGGUAGUUUACAAGUUGAUAAAUAAUUAAUCCGAAUUAUCUGCUCGCGUUAGUUUGGAUAAUUCCGUUAAAUUUGUACUCAAAUUUAAUAGCUGAGCUUGUUCGAUAUAUGCGUUGCCGGCUUCAAAAAACUUCAUCAUCAGAGAUCAACAAGAUGCUAUUCAUAUAUUUCGAUAUGCUAUUAGGCUGUUGCAUCAUUCGAAGAUUAAUGUCUUCAUUGAAUUUGGUGGAAGAUAUCAAGAAGUCGUGAGCAACAAAUCUCGCGAAUUUAACCAUGUGAGGAUGUUUUACAUUCCCGAAGAAUGAAUUGAAACUGAAUCUCGACGUGUCAUUAUUCAUCGCCAGCUGUAAUCGCCAGGAAAAGUGCGUAAGGAUUUGGCGAUCUCAUUUAUCUAUUGCCAACAAGUAUUUUUUUCAACUCUAUAAAAACUAUAGGUACUUACUUAUAUACUUAAGUAUGUAUGGAUAUGGAGAUCUUAAGCUACCUACCUGCUUAGUACAUAUGUACUUUGCUAUCAUUUCGACGUAGGUAAGGUACCUGUUUAAAAAUUAUUUUGCGCUUACUAGUUCUGAAAAAUUCAAGUGUUCACGAAGAUAAUCAAUCUUAUAACACUUUAUCCGAAUGAUUGGAAAUAAACAUAAGCUACUUUCGAAAUUCACGGAGGUUCGGAUUUAACAAAAAAAAAUCAAUUGUAUGUCUAUAGUAUGUAUAUAUAUACACCUAAGUUAGUGUCCUCUUAAAUUACGAGUACUUUCUGUUUCGUUGAAUUGCAGUAUAAUCGCAGUGUAAAAUAUUCAGAAAAUUGAAAAAAAAAAUUUCCUUAAUUGAAAAAGGUUCCAAUGGGACUAUAUACAAAGAUAGGUAGAACCUAUCAUAGGCCAAGAGAACAUUUUGAGAUCGUAACCUUGUUUAGAAUGAUAGGAAACUAUUCGAAACAAUUACUAAACUAUUGAGAGAAUAAAUUUGAAAUAUGCUAGACAUAUUUAACCUGAGUCGGUUACCUCGACUAUAUAAAUUAAAAAGUCUAAUUAUCAAAUCAUACCGGAUCUAUGUAUUUAAUUCAUAGUUUUAAACCCUUGACAUUACCUUGACAAUAUUGUAUUUAAAGACUAUUAUGAGUCAAUAUCCUUGACUAUCUUGUAGACUUUUUAUUCAGGAAACUUCCACCUAAAUUCACAUCAUUGCCUAGGCGUGUGCCUUAGCACCGCCAUUACUGGCUUUUGCGAAUUAGGUUUAUUCUUCCAUCACGAAAAUAAUACGCGAAACCAUGAUCGAGAAAUUAAUAAAACAAUUACUCAUCGAAA